AGGACUAUACACUAUUAGUCUACCUGUGAACAGAAAAAGGUGAAGCUGUAGCAGCAUGUUAUUAUAUUAAACAGUUAUAUUAUUUUUAUUGAACUUUCUCAUAGCAUGCAGUUUGUGUUCCUCUAGUUCCACAGCUAUUUCAAAUCUGUAGUGAAUUUGACCUCUAGUGUAGUUGGCAGCAAAGGUCUGUAAAUUUCACCUCUACUGUAUGUUUAUAAAUUCAGGUUUGCACGUUGUUAUGGACUUUUGAAGCUGGAACACUGGCCAAUUUUACAUGGCUCCCAUCUGAAGUUUUUUCACUAUUGAUAAAGAGGUGUUGAAGAAUGCUCCCAGAUAAUGCUGCCGAGUUGAAGUCUGGACUAAUUACACACUAGAUGUUGUCAGAAGAAUGAACUAAAGAUAAAGCAACAGUUUCCUGUUGCGGGAUAUCUUCGAGAUGAAAAAGAGCCCUUGUAAUGUGUACAGCACACUGUAAGCUGUUGACUGACUUCAUAGUACGCCGGUAAGAUUAUUCACAGUGGACAGUGGUGUGUUCUUCUUUUAAUCUUCUAACUCUUCUUCAGAUGUUGCAAAACUCAAGAUUUCUUUAUUGGCAUGCCGAGUUGGAGUCUGGAUGUGUUAGAUUGAAGUUUUUAGACGAAUGAUAAAGAGAAUGCAACAAUUGCCUGCUGGCGAGCUAUCUCGGAGAUGAAGAACGGCCCUUCAAGCUGUUCACUGACUUCAUAGUACGCCGAGUCUAUCUUUGUGCACAAAAACAAGACGAAUAUAAAUACAUGCCACCGUGGGGAUGUGAAGACACGGAUAUGAUAAUGAGAGACAUAAUGUAGCUGAACAGAAAUUAAUAUAUAUAUAUAAUUAUCUUGUUCUUGUCUUCUUUGUCUUUGAAUUGUGA